rnacentral:rRNA from 1 species
UACGUAGGGGGCAAGCGUUGUCCGGAAUCAUUGGGCGUAAAGAGCGUGUAGGCGGUCCGGUCAGUCGGUUGUGAAAGUCAAGGGCUCAACCCUUGAAUGCCGGCCGAUACUGCCGGCUAGAGUCCGGAAGAGGUGAGUGGAAUUCCUGGUGUAGCGGUGAAAUGCGCAGAUAUCAGGAGGAACACCGAUGGCGAAGGCAGCUCACUGGACGGUACUGACGCUGAGACGCGAAGCGUGGGAGCAAACAGG